AGAUGCCAAAGGAAGCCAUUCUUCUGGAAGAAGCCUUUCUCCUGAAAGCCUCCUGGAGGCAAAGUUCUGGCAGAACGAGGCAAUUUCCCUCCCUGCAGGCGGAAGGAAGGCAAUUAGAGCGGGAGCUAGGGCUGAAAGAGGGGAAAUGAUGCAGACACUGCCACCCAGCAAGUGAGAGGAAGGACUGAACAUGGACAGAAGGGCUUGAGACAUUGAGCCUUGGCUGCUUUCACCCAUCCCUUCAAUUGCUGCCCUCUUUUCUAAUGGCCUGAGUCUCCAAAUGGAGCCAAGCUGGGGGCACCCUGGCCAGGAGAUGUGGCCUGCUGUGCCCCUGAGAAGAGCUGUCCCAGGCACACAGAGACAACAUUUGGAAGUGGAAAAUGCCUCUGGAGCAGUCAGAGUGUUGGGAAGUCUCAUCCCGUUCUCCGUUUCAGGAACCUUCCCUCAGCAACAGCAGAGCAGAAGGGAACUCAGUUCAGCAUAACUCGAGUGCUGCAAGAACUGGGCGUGACUCGGAAAUCCCUCCCAACCACUUCCGGCGCAAGUGGCCUCUGA
rnacentral:sRNA from 1 species